rnacentral:rRNA from 1 species
UAAGGAAUAUUGCUCAAUGGGAGAAAUCCUGAAGCAGCAACGCCGCGUGGAGGAUGAAGGGUCUAUGACUUGUAAACUCCUGUAAAGAAGGAAAAAAUUCCCAUUUGAUGGGAGAUGAUGGUACUUCUGGAGUAAGCCCCGGCUAACUACGUGCCAGCAGCCGCGGUAAUACGUAGGGGGCAAGCGUUGUCCGGAUUUACUGGGUGUAAAGGGUGCUCAGGCGGAUUUGUAAGUCAGAGGUGAAAUCUUACAGCUUAACUGUGAAACUGCCUUUGAUACUGCAAGCCUAGAGUAUGGAAGAGAGUGAUGGAAUAUCUGGUGUAGCAGUGAAAUGCGUAGAUAUCAGAUAGAACACCAAUGUCGAAGGCAGUCACUUGGUCCAUUACUGACGCUAAAGCACGAAAGCGUGGGUA